rnacentral:rRNA from 1 species
UGAGCGGCAAGAGCUCAAAUUUGAAAUCUGGCUCCUCCGGGGUCCGAGUUGUAAUUUGCAGAGGAUGCUUCGGGUGCGGUCCCCGUCUAAGUACCCUGGAAUGGGUCGUCAUAGAGGGUGAGAAUCCCGUCUGGGACGGGUGGCCGUGUCCGUGUGAAGCUCCUUCGACGAGUCGAGUUGUUUGGGAAUGCAGCUCUAAAUGGGUGGUAAAUUUCAUCUAAAGCUAAAUAUUGGCCGGAGACCGAUAGCGCACAAGUAGAGUGAUCGAAAGAUGAAAAGCACUUUGAAAAGAGAGUUAAACAGCACGUGAAAUUGUUGAAAGGGAAGCGCUUGCGACCAGACUCGCCCGCGGGGGUUCAGCCGGUACUCGUACCGGUGUACUCCCCCGUGGGCGGGCCAGCGUCGGUUUGGGCGGCCGGUCAAAGGCCUCCGGAAUGUAUCGCCCUUCGGGGCGUCUUAUAGCCGGGGGUGCAAUGCGGCCAGCCUGGACCGAGGAACGCGCUUCGGCUCGGACGCUGGCGUAAUGGUCGUAAGCGGC